rnacentral:other from 2 species
AUUAGCCUGAAAUGUGCGACAACUCCUGUCAUUUUGAACCUACAGAUACUUUAAACGGGAUUCCUAUAUCGUCAGGCAGCUGUCAAGCCUCCACUCGGCAUGAGGAUUGCAGGGGAAGGCAAAAGCUUUGACUGCGGUUACCCACCUGGCUGAGGCUAGGAGUCAAAAGACAGGAACCGGCAUUUUGGGCCUUUA